rnacentral:lncRNA from 1 species
UUAUACAGAGAGUUAAGAGAUAGUGAAGUUAAUUAUACUAAACGAUUUACAUAUGUAACAUCUUUAUAUAAUCAGUUUUUUAGUUAUAGUUAUAAUUUAUAUGAUUUAUUAAAAUUAUUAGAAAUAUAUCAAAAAACAAAACAUAGUAAAUAUGCAGAUAUGUUUAAAAAAAUACUUGUUAAUAUAAAUGAUUUAGCAUAUUUACUAUUUACUUAUAAAAAACCAUUAAUCUGUUAUUGUAAUGGUGAAAUAAAAGGUUCAGCUGGUUUUUUAACAUUUUUAGCAAAUAAUAGUGCUGCUUUUUUACACUCUUGUUACUCAUAUAAUAAUCUAGAAUAUUCUUUUUUACCAUAUGGUGGUAUCUCUUAUAUACUAGCAAAUUUAAGAGGGUCUUUAGGAUUCUAUUUAGCUUUAACAGGUCAUAAAAUGAAAUCUUCUGAUUUAAUUUGGUGUGGUUUAAGUAAAAGAUGGCUAUCAGAAGAUAGCUUAGAACUCAUGGAAAUAACAUCCGAAAGUCAAUUAGAAGUUUCUGAACAAGAUGCUGCUAUACUAUUACUAGAACACUUUUUAAACGUUCCUCAAAUAUAUACACUAAAAGAAUAUGAAGAAAUUAUUCAUGAUCAUUUUAAACAUAAUAAUUUGUUAUACAUAUUAAAAAAGUUACAAAGUUCUAGUAAAAGUGAAAAUGAAAAAAUACAAAAAUGGGCUGAAGAUACUUACAAUAAAAUAUGCUCUUUACCCCCAUUAGCUACUCAUAUCACAUUUGAAAUAUUAAAUAUAUUAAGAAAUUAUAAAUUGGAACUAUUAAAAAAAGCACAAAUUUCAAAACAUUUAUGGAAAGAACUUAUAAAAAAUAGUUAUAAACUUGUAUCAACAACAAAAGAAGAAAUUAGUAUGACUGAACUAAAAAAUACCAUCGAUCAAGAACUUUUUAUUAAAGCAUUAAAUAUUGAAACUAAUGCUCUUUUAAAUUUUAUCUCAUGUCCAGAUAUCUUAAAUGGUAUUACUUCAUACUUAGUAAAAGAUACUGAACAUGCUUUUAGUUGUAGUUAUAUAAAUAACAACAUUUUUGACAUAAAAAAAGACAUCAUACAUUAUUUUCUUUUUUACAAAAAUAAUUAUGAGUAUACCAUUUAUGAUAGACCUGAUAUUAGUUUUUCAAGCUUAAGUGUUCUCGAAAAAUAUAAUCAACACUACAACACUGAACACAAAACGUCAUAUGACAGAGUUUUUUUUUCAAA